rnacentral:misc_RNA from 1 species
GUAAUUAUUAUAGUUUUCUGACGCUGACUGCAAUUACAAAGGGUUGUUUGGUGUCCUUUUGGUGGGCAAGCCCACCAAGGAAACAAAUGGUACGCAAAAUCAUGGGUAUAAUAUGCAGACAGGGUCAGCACACUUUCGUGAUACUAACCCCCUGUGAUAUCAUGUAAUGAUCCUUCCGCAGGUUCACCUACGGAAA